GACGUAGGAGGCGAGCGUUAUCCGGAUUUACUGGGCGUAAAGCGCACGUAGUCGGCUUUGCAAGUCGGUUGUGAAAUCCCCGGGCUCAACCUGGGAACUGCAUCCGAGACUGCAUUGCUAGAGUAUGGGAGAGGAAAGCGGAAUUUCUGGUGUAGCAGUGAAAUGCGUAGAUAUCAGAAGGAACAUCAGUGGCGAAGGCGGCUUUCUGGACCAAUACUGACGAUCAGGUGCGAAAGCGUGGGGAGCAAACAGG
rnacentral:rRNA from 1 species